rnacentral:rRNA from 1 species
CCUACGGGAGGCAGCAGUGAGGAAUAUUGGUCAAUGGCCGAGAGGCUGAACCAGCCAAGUCGCGUAAGGGAAGACGGCCCUACGGGUUGUAAACCUCUUUUGUCGGGGAGCAAAGAGAACCACGGGAGGUGCAUUAAGAGUACCUGAAGAAAAAGCAUCGGCUAACUCCGUGCCAGCAGCCGCGGUAAUACGGGGGAUGCGAGCGUUAUCCGGAUUUAUUGGGUUUAAAGGAGGCGCAGGCGGAGGUGCAAGUCAGCGGUCAAAUCGCGGGGCUCAACCCCGUACUGCCGUUGAAACUGCAUCCCUUGAGUGCGCGAGAGGUAGGCGGAAUGCGUGGUGUAGCGGUGAAAUGCAUAGAUAUCACGCAGAACUCCGAUUGCGAAGGCAGCAUACCGGCGCGCAACUGACGCUCAUGCACGAAAGCGUGGGUAUCGAACAGGAUUAGAUACCCGGGUAGUC